rnacentral:rRNA from 1 species
AGUGAACGCUGGCGGCGUGCUUAACACAUGCAAGUCGAACGCGAAAGGGGAGCAAUCCCUGAGUAGAGUGGCGAACGGGUGAGUAAUGUGUGGGUAAUCUGCCUUUCAGCGGGGGAUAACCUGGCGAAAGCCGGGCUAAUACCGCGUAAUGUUACGUUUCCUUCGGGUAAUGUAAUCAAAGAUGGGGAUCCGCAAGGACCUAUCGCUGAAAGAUGAGCUCACAUCCUAUCACGCUUGUUGGUAGGGUAACGGCCUACCAAGGCGACGACGGGUAGCCGGCCUGAGAGGGUGUCCGGCCACACUGGAACUGAGACACGGUCCAGACUCCUACGGGAGGCAGCAGUGGGGAAUUUUUCGCAAUGGGCGCAAGCCUGACGAAGCAACGCCGCGUGGAGGAUGAAGGCUCUAGUGGUUGUAAACUCCUGUCUAGCGGGACGAAACUCAUCAAGGUGAAUAUCCUUGGUGGUUGACUGUACCGCUGGAGGAAGCUCCGGCUAACUCCGUGC